UCCAAAGUCGUCUAAUGGAAGGAUGUGUAGCUUUGAAAGAAUUGCUAUUCUUAAUAAAUACAAGAUGGUGGUUCAAUUCCGCCCUUUGGAA
rnacentral:tRNA from 1 species